UCCUACGGGGCGCAGCAGUGAGGAAUAUUGGUCAAUGGCCGAGAGGCUGAACCAGCCAAGUCGCGUGAGGGAUGACGGCCCUACGGGUUGUAAACCUCUUUUGUCGGGGAGCAAGACCCGCCACGAGUGGCGGAGCGAGAGUACCCGAAGAAAAAGCAUCGGCUAACUCCGUGCCAGCAGCCGCGGUAAUACGGAGGAUGCGAGCGUUAUCCGGAUUUAUUGGGUUUAAAGGGUGCGUAGGCGGAUUUUUAAGUCAGCGGUAAAAUGUCCGGGCUCAACCCGGGCCGGCCGUUGAAACUGGGGAU
rnacentral:rRNA from 1 species